rnacentral:rRNA from 1 species
CUACGGGUUGCUGCAGUGGGGAAUAUUGCACAAUGGGGGAAACCCUGAUGCAGCCAUGCCGCGUGUGUGAAGAAGGCCUUCGGGUUGUAAAGCACUUUCAGCGGGGAGGAAGGGAAUAUGGCUAAUAUCCAUGUUCAUUGACGUUACCCGCAGAAGAAGCACCGGCUAACUCCGUGCCAGCAGCCGCGGUAAUACGGAGGGUGCAAGCGUUAAUCGGAAUAACUGGGCGUAAAGCGCACGCAGGCGGUUUGAUUAGUCAGAUGUGAAAUCCCCGGGCUCAACCUGGGAACUGCAUUUGAAACUGUCAAACUAGAGUCUUGUAGAGGGGGGUAGAAUUCCAGGUGUAGCGGUGAAAUGCGUAGAGAUCUGGAGGAAUACCAGUGGCGAAGGCGGCCCCCUGGACAAAGACUGACGCUCAGGUGCGAAAGCGUGGGGAGCAAACAGGAUUAGAUACCCCCGUAGUC